rnacentral:rRNA from 1 species
AGCGAACGCUGGCGGCAGGCCUAACACAUGCAAGUCGAACGAACCUUUCGGGGUUAGUGGCGGACGGGUGAGUAACACGUGGGAACGUGCCUUUAGGUUCGGAAUAACUCAGGGAAACUUGUGCUAAUACCGAAUGUGCCCUUCGGGGGAAAGAUUUAUCGCCUUUAGAGCGGCCCGCGUCUGAUUAGCUAGUUGGUUGAGGUAACGGCUCACCAAGGCGACGAUCAGUAGCUGGUCUGAGAGGAUGAUCAGCCACAUUGGGACUGAGACACGGCCCAAACUCCUACGGGAGGCAGCAGUGGGGAAUCUUGCGCAAUGGGCGAAAGCCUGACGCAGCCAUGCCGCGUGAAUGAUGAAGGUCUUAGGAUUGUAAAAUUCUUUCACCGGGGACGAUAAUGACGGUACCCGGAGAAGAAGCCCCGGCUAACUUCGU